rnacentral:rRNA from 1 species
CUAGAGCCUAGGGCUGACUGGCAUUUGGGUAACUGAGAAAGAAUUAGUAAUUUUACCAAAAUAAAGUCUUUAAGUACGUAUUAAUAAUGAUAAUAUGUAUAAAAGUCUUGACCAAUUACGUGCCAGCACUCGCGGUAAUACGUAGGAGACGAGCAUUAUUCAUAUUAAAUAGGUUUAAAGGGUACCCACACGGUCAAAAUACCUUAUAUAAAGGAGUACUUGACUAUAGUUAUAUGUGAGAAAACAUGGUUUGAGAAAUAAAAUUCCCCAUUCCCAGGAAGGCUUUUGGAAAAAAAACGGCGAAGGAUGUCUUCUAUGUAAGAAGUGAUGUUGGAGGUCUGUUAACCCAUAACUAACAGGAUUUGACACCCUAGUAGUCUUUGCAGACAAUGACGAAUGCCGUGAACUAUUAAGGAAACCCUUUUUAGUUUUAUAAAUGAAAAUGAAGGGGUUUCACCUCUUUUUUAUGUGGAAAACGCAGGACCCGCACUCACAAGGCGGUUCUGCACACACGAGAGGGAGGAAGGUUAUUUAUUCCCCAACCCGGCAGGA